GAUAUUAAACACAGUAAAAGACUGAGGAAUAACCUCUUUAAUCUGCGUUCACUGAUUAUUUUGAGUGCAGAAGACGGUUUUAGAAUUCCUGAAGAAAGGGUAAAAUUGUUGAUAUAGGAAAACUUUCGAUGGCGAAAGCAUUUACCGAUUCUGUUCUGACGCUAGGUACUAAAGCUUGGGGAGAAAGAGGAUUAGAGACCUCGUAGUCCUUGCCUUAAACAAUGAGUGUUCAACGUCUUAGAAUACUCGGAUUCACUUAAUUGAUGCGAUCCUAGAGGAUUCUUGGGGGUUUAAAGCUAACGCGUGAAACACCGCCUGGGGAAUGUGGCCGCAAGGUUAAACUCAAAGGAAUUGACGGAGACUCAUACAAGGAGUGGAGCAUGUGGUUUAAUUCGAGA
rnacentral:rRNA from 1 species